rnacentral:misc_RNA from 1 species
GAUGAAGAACGUAGUGAAAUGCGAUAAGUAGUGUGAAUUGCAGAAUUCAGUGAAUCAUCGAAUCUUUGAACGCACAUUGCGCCCCUUGGUAUUCCAUGGGGCAUGCCUGUUCGAGCGUCAUUUGUACCUUCAAGCUUUGCUUGGUGUUGGGUGUUUGUCUCGCCUUUGCGUGUAGACUCGCCUUAAAAUAAUUGGCAGCCGGCGUAUUGAUUUCGGAGCGCAGUACAUCUCGCGCUUUGCACUCAAAACGACAGCGUCCAAAAGUACAUUUUACACUCUUGACCUCGGAUCAGGUAGGGAUACCCGCUGAACUUAAGCAUAUCAAUAAGCGGAGGA